GAUGAACGCUGGCGGCGUGCCUAACACAUGCAAGUCGAACGGAGUCCAGCCUUUAAGACCUUCGGGUCAAAGAGGGGAAGACUGAGUGGCGGACGGGUGAGUAACACGUGGGCAACCUGGCUCAUAGAGGGGGAUAACAGAGAGAAAUUUCUGCUAAUACCGCAUAAGCACACACUGCCGCAUGGCAGAGGGUGAAAAGAGAAUCGCUAUGAGAUGGACCCGCGUCUGAUUAGCCAGUUGGCAGGGUAAGAGCCUACCAAAGCGACGAUCAGUAGCCGUUCUGAGAGGAUGAACGGCCACAUUGGGACUGAGACACGGCCCAAACUCCUACGGGAGGCAGCAGUGGGGGAUAUUGCACAAUGGGGGGAACCCUGAUGCAGCGACGCCGCGUGAGUGAAGAAGUAUUUCGGUAUGUAAAGCUCUAUCAGCAGGGAAGAUAAUGACAGUACCUGAAUAAGAAGCCCCGGCUAACUACGUG
rnacentral:rRNA from 1 species